GAUGAACGCUGGCGGCGUGCCUAAUACAUGCAAGUCGAGCGAAGCGGGGACGGGUGAGUAACACGUGGAUAACCUCCUAUAAGACUGGGAUAACUUCGUGAAACCGGAGCUAAACCGGAUACUUAUAUCUGGAUCUGCUGGGCAUUAGCUAGUUGGUAAGGUAACGGCUUACCAAGGCAACGAUGCCUAGCCGACCUGAGAGGGUGAUCGGCCACACUGGAACUGAGACACGGUCCAGACUCCUACGGGAGGCAGCAGUAGGGAAUCUUCCGCAAUGGGCGAAAGCCUGACGGAGCAACGCCGCGUGAGUGAUGAAGGUCUUCGGAUCGUAAAACUCUGGUAUUAGGGAAGCGGUACCUAAUCAGAAAGCAACGGCUAACUACGUGCCAGCAGCCGCGGUAAUAC
rnacentral:rRNA from 1 species